rnacentral:rRNA from 1 species
GUAGGUGGCAAGCGUUGUCCGGAAUUAUUGGGCGUAAAGCGCGCGCAGGUGGUUCUUUAAGUCUGAUGUGAAAGCCCCCCGGCUCAACCGGGGAGGGUCAUUGGAAACUGGGGAACUUGAGUGCAGGAGAGGAAAGUGGAAUUCCACGUGCAGCGGUGAAAUGCGUAGAUAUGUGGAGGAACACCAGUGGCGAAGGCGACUUUCUGGCCUGUAACUGACACUGAGGCGCGAAAGCGUGGGGAGCAAACAGGGAUUAGAUACCCUGGUAGUCCACGCCGUAAACGAUGAGUGCUAAGUGUUGGGGGGGUUUCCCGCCCCUCAGUGCUGCAGCUAACGCAUUAAGCACUCCGCCUGGGGAUACGGUCGCAAGACUG